ACUGAAUUUAACAGUUACACACCAACACUAACCAUGGUGGAGUGUUCUUCCAGCUGAUCUUCUCUGAGCUGGAGAUUGCCCAGCAUGCUCUGCUCCACUUCACCGGUGAGCGGAGCUACCACCUUUGAUAUUGAUUAACUACAAAUACUUCACGUCCUUUGUAUCAAUAUCUGCUGCAGCCGAGAGGUUUUUGGGGCUCCAAGACUUCACAGCAGAAGCACUACAAGACUUUUGUCACCAGGAAAUGUCCUGCCCUCACAGGAGGAUUCUGAGGCUGUGUUGGACCUGAUUAGAAUGAGGUUUUUACAGAAAAGCAGGUUGAUUUUGUUUAGUUCAUUUCUUUUUUGGUAGUUUGUGUGAUAUUUGAUUUAUUUUUACCCAUAUGUUAUUUUUGGGGAUCCUUAUCCACCCACACAGUAGGUGGCGGAAUGCACAUUUAGUUGUUGCGAAUGCCAUUAUACCAUAGAAGAAGAGAGAGAGACAGACAGACAGACAGACAGACAGACAACGGUCUAGACACCCUCAGGCAGUGAUGCCAACUUAGCAAUUUUGUUGCUAUAUUUAGCAACUUUUUUUCCAAACAGCACCUAAAAACAAAUGUAGCUAAUUUUAAAAAUGUAUUUGGAACUUGUGGCAACUUUUGAAAAAUUACUCAAACGCUAAAACGCACAUAUUUUCCCUCUAAAUGACACAAAACCGAUUUUCUCUGUCACAACACACGUGCCUGGCUGCAAAAGUGCAUUGUGAGUGACGCCAGCAGCAAUUUCAGCAAAUUGCAAAUCAUUGUUGGCUGACUGCAGCAGCAGUAGUAUGUGUUCGACGAGAUCUUGAACAGAACUUACAACAAUCAACAUGUCUCAAUCAAAAUUGUACAGCCAGAAGUACAGAAAAGAGUGGGAGUACCUGGAUUUAAAGGGUGGCUGAAGCCAGUAAUUGGGGAUGAUUGUUGGGCAUACUGUGCGUACUGCAAAUCAGAUAUGCUUGCAAAAAUGUAUGACAUCAAAAAACAUUAUGCUACAGCAAAGCAUAUAAAUAAAUCAAAACCGUACAACCCCACAACGCAGUCUACAUUACCACAGUUGGUUAAAAAAGUGGAUAACUGCAAAAGCUACUAUGGCAAUGGCCACUGCAGAGCAUUGUUCGCUGCUAGCAUGCGACCAUUUAGGUAUGGCUUGCAAAGUUGCCUUUUCAGAUUCUGUGGCAGCAACAAACUUCCAAAUGCACUGCACCAAGUUACACAGAAAUGAUUAGGGGAAUACUGGCUCCUUAUUUUCUCAAAAGGGUAACAUCAGAUGUGGGGGAUGAGAAGUUCAGUCUCCUUUUGGAUGAGUCCACUGAUGUCAGUGUCUCGAAAUACCUGGGUGUGGUGAUUCGGUAUUUCAGUGCUUAAAAAAGAACCGUUGUGUCCACAUUUCUCAGGCUGGUUGUCUGGGAGGGUGGCGAUGGCAGAUCAAUAGCAAAGGCGGUAGUUGAGUUUCUUGAGAAGGGCAACCUUAAAAAAGAGAAUCUUCACAGUAUUGGCACUAAUAAUGCGUCUGUGAUGACUGGGGUACACAACGGGGUGCACAUGAUUUUAAAGGUAGAAUGUGCAUUGCCCAAUUUGGUACUCAUCCGUGAUGUGUGCCAUUCUUUACAAUUGGCUGUCUCUGCAGCAUCCAAAGAAACCAUCCCUAGGAGUGUUGAGUACUUAAUCAGGGAAACCUACAACUGGUUUUCCAUUUCCCCAAAAUGGCGCGAGGCGUACAAAGCAGUGUAUGCCACCAUUAAUUGUGUCCAGAAACCCCUGCAGGUCACCAAAGUGUGUGCCACACGUUGGCUAUCGAUUGAGUCUGCGGUAACUCGUAUAUUGAGCCAGUGGGAAGAACUGAAACUCCACUUUGAGUUGACCAAGGCCAGUGAGCGUUGCUACAUGGUGGAUGUUCUCCACACCAUGUACAUGGACAAGACCAACUAUGUCUACCUGACAUUCUUGAAAUCAAGUUGCAGUGAAGUAAUUUGAGGGAGAGCAAACAGAUCCUGUCAAGCUUUUGGACAAUCUGGUACACCUCUUAACAUCAAUUUGCAGCAGAGUAGUCAACCCUAUGGCAAAAAUGGAUGUCCUGAAUGAUGCCAUUGAUGGACAUCUCAGUCCAUCACCAUGUACCAACUCAGUCUUGCGCCAGAGGACAAAAAGGUAUUUCGGAGACAGUGCAUCAACUACAUUGUUGCUUUAAGCAAGGAGCUGCAAGCAAGGCUCCCAGACAACCUUGAAGCCUUGCGAAACAACAUGGCCUUGUUCAGUGUUAAGGAAACGCUAAAGCACAACAAAGGCACCACUGAAAUUAUUAAAGUAGCUGAGCUACUGGGGUACCAGCCCCAAACAAUUGAUAAAAUUGUUUCCCAAUGGAGAAACAUCCAGCUGUUUAGGUGGGACUCAACUGAAAAUACAGUCGAGUUUUGGAGUGAACUCAAUAACUACACGGACUCUUCCGGGUCAAAUCCAUUUGAAGAACUGUGCAAAGCUGCACUCGCUGCCCUCUCCUUGCCACACUCAAAUGCGGAGGUUGAACGGCUGUUCAGUCAAAUGAGUGUGGUCAAGUCAAAGUUAAGAAAUAGAAUGUCACUGCACACUCUCAACUCCAUACUCCUGGUGCGGUAUGGACUGAAGCUGGCUGGUGAAACCUGUUACCAGCAUAAACUACCAAGUGAAGUUCUGCAGCAGUUUGGCACCACAGCAGCAUACAGCUUUAAAGCCACUCCAUCCUCUACUGCUGGUUCCAGCUCCGUGACAAUGCAGUUGGACAGUGAAGAGGAUUUCCUUGCCAAUCUAUGACUCAUCAUAUUUACAGUACGUAGGCAAGGAGUGGGCUUUCUGGAACUGGCGGAGACACACAGCUGAUGGUGGCAGUGUGUACUGCAGUGGGUGCGAAAACAGUGGCAAUAUCUGAAGGAAACCAUCGAGCAGCUAGCCAGCCAAGCAGCACAACAACCUGGAGAGAGCUGGAGAGAGAUGCCUAGCACAUACAUCAUUAUUUGAGUUAAGUUGCUUAUUCAAUAAGAUAGCAUAUAUACCUUGUUAUUUGCCUGUACCUAUAAUUGUUGAUCAGUUAGGUAGCAUGUUAACUAACUACCAAUACACUGCUUAAAACUAGGAUUGUUCAGAAUGUGUAGGUUUACUAGUUAUAAAUAAAAUGUAAUUGUUCAAUAAUGUGUAAUUGUUCAAUAAUUCAAUGUGUUGUGUUUAAAAAUAAAAAUGUGAUAAUAUAAAAUGUGUUGUGUUUAUAUUACUUUUACAAAUAAAAGUAUAUGAUAAUAAACAAACAAAUCUAAACUAACAAAUGUCAAAUCAUAUUUUUCGCCGAGAUAAUUUUUAUAUGUUAUUUUUUUCAUGUGAUAUUUAUAUAUAUUUUUUCACUUUUUUUAUUUUUAUUAACAGUAACAUGCAAAACAUAAACAUAACAGUCAGAGGGAUUCCACAAAGAAAUGAUAAAAAAAUAAAAUAAAACUCAUCCACAUUAUAUCAAUUAAAAUACAGGCAUAUAGCGAAGAAUUUUUUUUGACAUUUUGUUUUGUAUACGUUUCAAAGACUCUAAAUAGUUUUACAAAUCAGAUAAAAAAAUUAAGAAAAGGGCCUUUUUCUUCAUACAUUUUGAUUUGUGUAUGAAAAAUGUUCCAAAUAAAAUAAAGAGAUUUAUGACAUAUUCACAUUCAAUUGUGGAAUCAGUGUAGAAAAAUAAUGUCAAACUUAGAUUUCAAUGGUUGUAUGCAAAAUGAGGACAAGAUAUAGUUUUACAUCAGUCCAGAACACUUCACUAUAUAACAAUGACAGAAUAAGUGUUCAAUUAGAGUCUACGUAAUGACGUUACGCAGUUUUACGUUAUUAUGUAUUGACGGCAUCACGCAAUGACAUCAUAACGUCUAUUAGCAACAAAUCAACUUCCUCUGGAAAUUAGUUGGCAACACUGAGCGGAAUGCGGCGAAAGCACCUACCGAUGCCGACGACUCGAAUGUGCUGCUCUGAAAUGCAGGACAGAUGCCAGGGAAGUCAAGAAGACUGACACGUGAGUGCAUUGACUUACCACCAGGAACAUUAGAUGUGUUCAGCUUGUCAGCCCUUCGCCUUAAAGGUCUGCAUUACUUGUGACACGACUUCCUGACUUAAAGGCAUCUGAACAGAUUCUCCACUUGGAGUUCCAUUCUGGAAUAGGAAUGUGUGCUGAAUACCUGAUUCCAGACCACGAGACUGAUGCGCUUUGUGAAAAUCCAGGGUUUGAGUGCUGUGGUCAGUGGAAUUGCAGCGUGGACGCCAACAUACUGUUGACUGUCCUGACACAAGAUGGCUGUUCUGGGCUGCUCUAAGCUAUGCAGGUUCUUGUGUUUGUGGCUGAACAAGGAGCCGUGAUGCCAACUAGACUGGUCCUGAUGGUCCUGGUGGUGGUACCAGACUGGUCACUAGAAGAUGCCUGUUACUGAACUACCACAAGUUGAUGUCCUUGUGGGUCUGCAGUCUUCAGGAAGGUCCUAACUGUUCCAGCCUGGCCACUGGAGAACUGUUGCUGCACUACCUCAAGGUUUCUGCCCCCCUGGUUGAGGUCCGAGUGUCUGCCGUGUUUGGAAAGGUGUGUGACUUUUGACAGCAUUGUAAUGCUCCACAUUAAGCAUUCUGGAAUGUUGUAAAUGAUGAAGCAUUAACCCUAACAGCCCAGUUUGGUGGCAAUCCUGUCCUGUGCUCUGGGCUGGAUAAAGGUCUGGCCUCCCAUCGGCCCUCCUGUGGGUUGGGCAGACACUGACAAGCCUGCUCUCUGUGCUGGGGCAGGGGUAAGGUGGGCUGCCUGCCUGGAGGGGGGGUGUCUGGGUGGGGGCUUGACCCCAGACCCUGGACCACUGGCUAGAUGGCCGCAAUGACUGAACUAAAAUCCUGAUCUGGUUUCAGAAUGCUCUGAAUGGAGUCUAGUAAUCUAAGAUUGGGAUUAUUUGGUUUUAAAACUGUUCUGUCUUUUUAGAGCUUGUUGGCUGCUGAAGUGUUGCUGUGCUGGUGGAGCGGGAAGGUGUGUAGUGGGAAUGACUUACGGUUCCAGUAUUAUAAUACACUGAGUAUAGAGGACAGUAAACCUUCCUAAUAUUGAGUUUGCCCUCAGAACAGCCUCAGUUGUCUACAAGGUGUCAAAGCGUUCCACAGGGCUGUUGGCCCGUGACACAACUGUGGGUCGGCAUUGGAGUCAAGUUAGCUGGAUGUGGGCCUCCCGGGUGGAGCAGUGGUCUAGGGCACUGCAUCGCAGUGCUAACUGCGCCACGAGUCUCUGGGUUCGCCCCAGGCUCUGUCGCAGCCGGCCGCGACCGGGAGGUCCGUGGGGCGACGCACAAUUGGCAUAGCGUCGUCCGGGUUAGGGAGGGUUUGGCCGGUAGGGAUUCCCUUGUCUCAUCGCGCUCCAGCGACUCCUGUGGCGGGCUGGGCGCAGUGCGCUAACCAAGGGGGCCAGGUGCACGGUGUUUCCUCCGACACAUUGGUGCGGCUGGCUUCCGGGUUGGAGGCGAGCUGUGUUAAAGAAGCAGUGCGGCUAGGUUGGGUUGUGCUUCGGAGGACGCACGGCUUUCGACCUUCGUCUCUCCCGAGCCCGUACGGGAGUUGUAGCGAUGAGACAAGAUAGUAAUUACUAGCGAUUGGAUACCACGGAAAUUGGGGAGAAAAGGGGAUAAAAAUUAUAUAUAAAAAAAAAAAGUUAGCUGUAUGUCCUUUGGGUGGUGGACCAGUGUUGAUACACAUAAGAGACUGUUGCUCUUGACAAACCCAGAAGUGUUUCAUUUGAGCUAAACCGGUCCACCUGGCACCUACCAUACCCCAUCCAAAGGAACGUAAAUCCUUUGUAUUGCCUUUCUCAACUUUUGGCCAAGACUGUAUAUGUAUUAUAAUGGAAAAGGGGGGCAGAUCAAUAUUAGGAAGAUGUUGUUAAUGUACUGUUGAAUGUUCCUCUUGGAUCAUCACACUGACCCAAGUCAUCUCACUAUUUUCCCUCUAGCUCUCCUACACUGACAAGCCCUCUUGCACUCCUGUUUGGUCAGCUAGGAAGUGGGACGUCUUGUUGGAACUGGGGAAAACCAGGCCAAGUCAAUUCAACAGUGUGACUGUUUUGUUGUAUAAAUAAAUCUACAAAUUAAUGCUCGUUGUAUUUCUCUUUCUUGGUGGUAGUAAAUCAGACUUGGUGAAUUUGGCCAUUUUGAAUGAACCAUGUGGUCUGAAAUCAAUACUGAACAAUGUGACAUUUCCUUCAUAUCAUUAUGUAGUUAUUCUAGGUGGUUUUAAACAUGCACAUGUUAUGGGGGUUGACUUUGUUCACUGGCUAUAGAAAGUUGACUGAAAUAUUUUAAGCUGUUGUGUUUUUGGGAGGAAUUUAUUGUGAGAUGCAUGUUUCGUCAUGGAGUGUACUUUAACGAUACGGUGGGACAAUUUUAAAGCUAAUAUAUGGAACAGGCUUGGUUUACACUGAUAUCAAAACCGCUAAAGAUGGUGGCUAAAUAGAGCAUUCAUCCAAGUAAAUUCCGGUAUAUCUAACGGGUGGUAUCAUGGACAUUAAUGUGCCAGUUUGUAGUCCCGAAAACCCCCCAAAUGAGUUACCUCUGGUUCUUUCAACCAUACCUCUGGUGGAAACAAUCGUUUUUUUUAACCCCAUCUGUUGGCCGUGAAGCACAGGGGUAGAGAAUUUGGGCUCACUACAAAAUAUGAGCGUUUGCGCUUGAGGCUAGUUUCCCGGACACAGAUUGAGCCUUACCUGGAACUUUAUAUUCGAAUUUUGGUGAAUAACAGGAGAAAAAAGCCGUCCUGUACAGUUUGCGUGCCGUUUAGUACUGGUCUGCGUCACACCUGUCAUAUUUUCCUGCAAGCAUAAAUUGGCUUUUAGGAGAUUCUACAUUUUCUGAGAUCCGUUAACUUGACCAUUAUAGCAGGGGCUUUUAAUUUCAGUACAAAUGCUUCAAUUGUGUGAACGUUAGCUGAUCUCAGAAAAAGGUUAACGCCUGAAUUUACCACAGAUCUUGUUUUCAGUGUUGAUGUCAAAACAUUUUCCCAAGGAUUUGUCCAACGAUCCGUGGCGGAGUUGGUGCCCAACAAGAUGCCAUUACUCACUGCUCUCUAUAGCAGCUGGGUCUGGUCGACCUAGUUAAUUGAAUGCAACACAUUUUCCAGCGAAUGAUAGUCCCGUUUCCCAUCCGUCUCAAACCUCAUUGUGCCAUUUUUGUGUGAUGUAUUGUCUCCACCUUCUUGCCUUUUGUGCUGUCGUCUGUGGCCACUAAUGUUUGUACCAUGUUUUGUGCUGCUACCAUGUAUUGUUGCUACUAUGAUGUGUUGUGUUGCUGCCUUGCUAUGUUCUCUUAGCUCUCUCUUUAUGUACUGUAUUUAUUUUGAAUCCCAGGCUCCGUCCCCGCAGGACGCCUUUUGGUAGCCAUCAUUGUAAAUACGAAUUUGUUCUUUUGCCUAGUUAAAGGUUAAAUAAAAAAAUCAGCGCACCCUUUUUCUACAUCUAUCCUCUUCUAGUUAGUAGGAUACAAUACCUGUAUGUUUCUAGUGGUGAACUGGGAUAAUGCAGCAGAACACCACUGGAUAGAAUACCUGUAUGUCUCUAGUGGUGAACUGGGAUAGUGCAGCAGAACACCACUGGAUAGAAUACCUGUAUGUCUCUAGUGGUGAACUGGGAUAGUGCAGCAGAACACCACUGGAUAGAAUACCUGUAUGUCUCUAGUGGUGAACUGGGAUAGUGCAGCAGAACACCACUGGAUAGAAUACCUGUAUGUCUCUAGUGGUGAACUGGGAUAGUGCAGCAGAACACCACUGGAUAGAAUACCUGUAUGUCUCUAGUGGUGAACUGGGAUAGUGCAGCAGAACACACCUGGAUAGAAUACCUGUAUGUCUCUAGUGGUGAACUAUGAUAGUGCAGCAGAACACCACUGGAUAGAAUACCUGUAUGUCUCUAGUGGUGAACUGGGAUAGUGCAGCAGAAUGCAACUGUCCUAUAAUCUUUGCCAUUAAGUGUUUUGGCAAUUUGAUCAGGAAUUAAGACUAUUAGUGUAAGCGACAAUGUAUAUUAAAAAUAAGAUUAUUGUUAUAAAAUGUAUUUUAUCACUCAGAUGGUUGGUAUUUUCUGUGGCAUUAAAAGGGUUUUAGUCUGACAUUGGACAUGAUGCCAAAUAACCUUUCACCUGACUGAUGCAUGCUUUCAUUAAAGGAAAAUUCCACCCAAAACGGUCUUUUGGUAUUUGCAAAAUGCAUCAUAUGGGGAUUUCUGUAUUUUGAAAGUUACAUAUCGUGACAACUUGAUUAUUGACAAGCAAAACAUUUUGGGACUAUGUUACAAUGGACUAAUGAAACAAAUACCAAAAUAUGGUUUUUGGAUGGAGUUUUCCUUCAACUGGUUUCUAGAACUCCCUGGAAAACUGUAUUUUAUGGUAUUAUUCUGUAGUGAUGAAAUUAAAACCUUUUCAAGACA